UACGAAGGGUGCAAACGUUGCUCGGAAUUAUUGGGCGUAAAGCGCACGUAGGCGGCUUGGCAAGUCGGAUGUGAAAGCCCUCGGCCCAACCAAGGAAGUGCAUCCGAAACUGCUGAGCUUGAGUACUUAAGAGGAUCGCGGAAUUCCCGGUGUAGAGGUGAAAUUCGUAGAUAUCGGGAGGAACACCAGUGGCGAAGGCGGCGAUCUGGGAAGAUACUGACGCUGAGGUGCGAAAGCGUGGGGAGCAAACAGG
rnacentral:rRNA from 1 species